rnacentral:miRNA from 1 species
CCUGUGAGGGCUUCACCCUGGA